CCUACGGGUGGCAGCAGUGAGGAAUAUUGGUCAAUGGACGAGAGUCUGAACCAGCCAAGUAGCGUGAAGGAUGACUGCCCUAUGGGUUGUAAACUUCUUUUAUAUGGGAAUAAAAUGUUCCACGUGUGGGAUUUUGUAUGUACCAUAUGAAUAAGGAUCGGCUAACUCCGUGCCAGCAGCCGCGGUAAUACGGAGGAUCCGAGCGUUAUCCGGAUUUAUUGGGUUUAAGGGGAGCGUAGGUGGAUUGUUAAGUCAGUUGUGAAAGUUUGCGGCUCAACCGUAAAAUUGCAGUUGAAACUGGCAGUCUUGAGUACAGUAGAGGUGGGCGGAAGUCGUGGUGUAGCGGUGAAAUGCUUAGAUAUCACGAAGAACUCCGAUUGCGAAGGCAGUUCACUGGACUGCAACUGACACUGAGGCUCGAAAGUGUGGGUAUCAAACAGGAUUAGAUACCCCAGUAGUC
rnacentral:rRNA from 1 species